AUUUUCUUAAGUUAAUGAAACUUUAGGUUUUCAAAACCUAAUAUGAUCUACGUUGUCAGAAAAUG
rnacentral:tRNA from 1 species